AUUGCAAAGAAAUUAUAUAAAGAAACUCUCACAUUUUAUAGAACUUUCGUCUUUGCCACAUAAAGUUGAAAGUGCUAUAAUAAACAGCAAAAUUAUUUCCUCCAACAUUUUGGGCUAAACAAAAUAUUAUUCUUGUUGUUCCUAUUUCUGUGAAGUGCAGCACCAAAGAAAGAGAAUCGUCUUUAAGAUGUGCGGAUUCGGCUGUGGCAGCUACGGCUUUGGACCUUGGGGCGCAUGUGGACCUUGGUCAGGUGCCUGUAGCUAUGGUCCGUGUGGCGGUUGUGGCCCCUGUGGGGGUUAUGGAUUCUACGGCGGCUGUGGGCCAAUGCGCGGCUGUGGUCCCUCUGGUCCGGCCUGUUGGCCCUUUGGCUUAUAUACGUGCUGAGCUUUGGAAUGAAAUUAGGAGCAAUCUCGCAUCUGAGCGCAUAAUGCCCCGACCGAAAGUUUCGCGGCACUGAAAGAUGGGUGUUGCGUGUCUACAUGAAUCUUGGAUUAUUGGGUUUUUGGCUCUGUGGCUCUGUGGCAAAGCAACAAACACCCAACAAAGCACAAGAUUGCUCUUGGACAGUUUUGCCAUAUGGAUCGAUGCUGCAGAUUAACCUUAAGAAUUUCUGUAACUAUGGCGUAAGAGCAACCACCAAUAAAAUUGUAUUGUCUUGAAGUAAA